rnacentral:rRNA from 1 species
UACGAAGGGGGCUAGCGUUGCUCGGAAUCACUGGGCGUAAAGGGUGCGUAGGCGGGUCUUUAAGUCAGGGGUGAAAUCCUGGAGCUCAACUCCAGAACUGCCUUUGAUACUGAGGAUCUUGAGUUCGGGAGAGGUGAGUGGAACUGCGAGUGUAGAGGUGAAAUUCGUAGAUAUUCGCAAGAACGCCAGUGGCGAAGGCGGCUCGCUGGGCUCAACCUGACGCUGAGGCGCGAAAGCGUGGGGAGCGAACCGG